UGACUCGCGGCGUAGCUGUAUUAGUGCUCCUCUGCCUUCUGGGAGCUUUCCAUGACAGAGGUUAUCUGGGGAUGUCCGCUUCCGGAGAAAUUCGACUUGUAGAGAUGGUGUCGAUGCCGGACCGCUGCAGAGAGGGAUACGUCGAGGUCCGUGACGGUGAAUGCAGAAGAAUCGAUUUCCACUGGUAUUGGUUUCUAUAUCAACUCAUAAAGGACUGAUCAAACAGGACGAGAACUGGCGGAAUGUUAAGUCAACGUACAUGAGAACCACUAAAUGGCUACCGCGUUAGUAAUAUAAUAUCAAAAAAUUGUUAUUUAUUUAGUUUCUAAC